ACGCUCGACAUCUACGGGAGGCAGCAGUGGGGAAUAUUGCACAAUGGGGGAAACCCUGAUGCAGCGACGCCGCGUGGAGGAAGAAGGUCUUCGGAUUGUAAACUCCUGUUGUUGGGGAAAAAGNGGAUGGUACCCCAACAAGGAAGUGACGGCUAACUACGUGCCACAGCCGCGGUAAUCUGAGCGGGCUGGCAAGGC
rnacentral:rRNA from 1 species